CGUCGGCCAACAACGGUGUCACGGUAAUAUAGGUUUCAAAUAACAGGAUAGAAGAGGGGAUAAGAUAGAUGAACAUCACGGGGAGCAGGAGCUUCCAGCUACUCCCGACGAGCUUUGCGGCUCCCCACAGUAUCUCCCGGGCGUUCGAGGUCGGUGACCGGCCGCCGCCGACGAUCAGAGGCAAGCACUCCUCUUCACCCAUGGCUCUUGUUCUGUUUCCUUACCUUCUGCUCAGUUGUAGAACAAACUAACGCGUCCUAUUUAUAAACUCUUUCUAGUGGGGGGCAGUCAUCGCGAAGAGUUGUCAACGGUGGGCGUCCACCUGGACUAUCGACGAAAAAGUCUUCCCACCUACUUGGACCUGUCUUGUUGAACAAGGCACCAGUCCCCCUACGACGGGACGGGUAAUUCUUCGGCUCUAUCUCUUGAGUCAUCUUCCGUGUUGAACAAGGCACCAGUCCCCCUACGACGGGACGGGUAAUUCUUCGGCUCUAUCUCUUGAGUCAUCUUCCGUGUUGAACAAGGCACCCGUCCCCCUAUCACGGGAUCUCAUUCUCCACUGCUGGAUCAUCCGAUGGCAGGGAGAGCUUUAGGAGAAAGAGAACAGAGAUGAGGGCGGCAGCUCUCGAGAGAAGGAAGGGCCUUGCUGGUCUUUCAGACGCCGGCGACUUCUUCCCGGCCCUGUCGGGGAGAACAGUUCCAGAGUGUACUCUCUUCUUCACCCGCAAGCCCAGUACCAUGGACCACCGCUUUGCUCAUCAAUUCUGCUCAUCGGGGUGCAGGAGCUUCCAGCUCUUCCCGACGAGCUUUGCGGCUCCCCACAGUAUCUCCCGGGCGUUCGAGGUCGGUGACCGGCCGCCGCCGACGAUCAGAGGCAAGCACUCCUCUUCACCCAUGGCUCAGGUUCUGUUUCCUUACGUUCUGCUCAGUUGCAGAACAAACUAACGCGUUCUCUUUGUGAACUCUUUCUAAUGGGGGGUAGUCAUCGCGGAGACUUGUCAACGGUGGGCGUCUGCCUUGAUAAUCAACUAAAAAGUCUACCCACCUACACGGACCUGACGGGUAAUUAAUUCUUCGUCUCUAUCUCUCGAGUCAUCCUUAGUGUUGAACAUGGCACCCGUCCCCAUAUCACGGGAUCUCAUUCUCCACUGCUGGAUCAUCCGAUGUCGGGGAGACCUUUAGAGAGAGAAUAGAGAUGAGGGCGGCAGCUCUCGAGAGAAGGGCCUCGCAGGUCUUCCAGUCGCCAGCGACUUCUUCCCGGCCCUGUCGCGGAGAAAAAUUCCAGAAUGUACUCUCUUCUUCACCCGCAAGCCCAGUGCCAUGGACCACCGCUCUGCUCAUCCGAAUUGCUUAUCGUGUCUGGUCUCGGCCCAGCUGCUUUGGAGGAACGUAACGAGAGAGAGAGAGAGAGAGAGGGAGGUUUUUUAGUAAUAGGUUGAAAUAAAAAUAAAGAUGGGGUCUUUCCGCAGUUAAUGCUCCCAACAAUUUUAACCCGUUCCUGUGCGUAGGAAAGACAACAUUGAUUUACACACCAAAAAUUAUUCUUCGCCUAUUCAAAUUGGUGUCGGGAGCGUUCACAUGUUGGGAGUCAGGAAGGAAUCCACGAUGAAUUGCAAUAUUGCCCUAAAUGUCUAGACUAUGAUGUGUCUAAACAUUAGGGACAAUGUACCAAUAUGUGGUGCUGUCUUAGUAGACCAUCUGAAGAAAUACUUGGGUUCUUGCUCAAUUGUCUUAAAUGUUGAUGAAAGUUAUUUUUGACCUGUAUUGAUCAUUUCUCAAGAAAAGCCUCAUGUUUUCUAAAUAAAAAGAUUUUUGUGCGUCAAUUUCAAGUACUAGAAGAUUAAAACACCUUGGUAUGUGAUAGUGAUAUGAAGUUCUUUACAAAUCAAUAUGAUGAAUUCUAUAAUAAUGAAGUUAUUAUUCUAUAUCAUACUAUGAAAGGGAGACUAAUAAAAUAAUAUCAUAGAAUGGAGGAACAAGUAGUAUCUUAAAGAAAGUGAGGAGUACAGCAUCUCAAGUUAGUCUAUUAAAGAUGUUUUGAGUAGAAGCUAUCAACACUGCUAAGUACUAGGUGAAUCAAUACAUAUCCACAAC
rnacentral:lncRNA from 1 species